CCCUUAGAUGUCCUGGGCCGCACGCGCGUUACACUGAUGCAUUCAACGAGCUUAUAACCUUGGCCGAGAGGCCUGGGCAAUCUUGUUAACGUGCAUCGUGAUAGGGAUAGAUUAUUGAAAUUAUUAAUCUUGAACGAGGAAUUCCUAGUAAACGCAGAUCAUCAAUCUGCAUUGAUUACGUCCCUGCCCUUUGUACACACCGCCCGUCGCACCUACCGAUUGGAUGGUCCGGUGAAGCCUCGGGAUUGUGGUUCUUGCCGCUUUAUUGUGGCCUGACCGCGAGAACUUGUCUAAACCUUAUCAUCUAGAGGAAGGUGAAGUCGUAACA
rnacentral:rRNA from 1 species